GAUGAACGCUGGCGGCGUGCCUAAUACAUGCAAGUCGAGCGAACAGACGAGGAGCUUGCUCCUCUGACGUUAGCGGCGGACGGGUGAGUAACACGUGGAUAACCUACCUAUAAGACUGGGAUACCUUCGGGAAUCCGGAGCUAAUACCGGAUAAUAUAUUUAACCGCAUGGUUCAUUAGUGAAAUACGGUUUUGCUGUCACUUAUAGAUGUAUCCGCGCCGCAUUAGCUAGUUGGUAAGGUAACGGCUUACCAAGUCGACGAUGCGUAGCCGAUCUGAGAGGGUGAAGGGCCACACUGGAACUGAGACACGGUCCAGGCUCCUACGGGAGGCCGCAGUAGCGAAUCUUCCGCAAUGGGCGAAAGCCUGACGGAGCAACGCCGCGUGAGUGAUGAAGGUCUUCGGAUCGUAAAACUCUGUUAUUAGGGAAGAACAAAUGUGUAAGUAACUAUGCACGUCUUGACGGUACCUAAUCAGAAAGCCACGGCUAACUACGUG
rnacentral:rRNA from 1 species